UAGGUUGAGGAGGCGGUGACCAUGGCGGUGGAGGAGGAGGAGGAUGACAUAGCCAAUAGAUAAAUAAUUUAAUUUUUUUUUUUUUAUUUGGGGUAGCCCCCAAAAUAUUGGGACAUAUAAAAAAAAUUACAACUCUGUUCCGCAGAGUAGCUGUUGACAUUAUAGUUGCGCAGGCACCUUGUUGACUCUAGAGAACCAUGGGCCAAUCGCACAUUCCCGUGGCGGCGACUUUGCAUGCGUAUGUCAUCCACAUCAACUUUCUGCGCCUACCAUGGUGACCACGAGUAAUGGGGAAUCAGGGUUCCAUUCCGUACAGGGACCCUGAGAAACGGCUACCACAUGCAAGGAAGGCAGCAGGCGCGCAAAUGACCCACUCCCGACGCGGUAUGGUAGUGACGACCAAAAACAAUACAGGACUCUUUAAUUGUAAUGAGUCCACUUGAAAUCCUUUAACUCUGAUCAAUUGGAGGGAAGUCUGGUACAGAGCCACUGACCCAUGCGUGCUGCAGCUGAAACUCCACU